CCUGGCGGCCAUAGCGGCGUGGUACCACCUGAUCCCAUCCCGAACUCAGCAGUGAAACGCGCAUGCGCCGAUGGUAGUGUGGCUUAAGCCAUGCAAGAGUAGGUCACCGCCAGGGGCUUUAUCCUGAAAUACCCGCUACGAGUCAUCGUGGCGGGUUUUUCUUUGCCUGCGUUUCCAUCGGAAACGACCCGCAACAGGUCACCGCCAGGGGCUUUAUCUAGAAGGCCUCCCCAAUCGGGGAGGCCUUCGUCUUUGCGGCUGUUGCCGGUGCGCGCAUCGCGCGCGACCCGCAACAGGUCACCGCCAGGGGCUUUAUCC
rnacentral:rRNA from 1 species